rnacentral:rRNA from 1 species
AUGGAGCCCGGCCGGCUCAUCUUCAACACGUCGGGCUCCGGCAACGGACAGAUGCUCUUCAUGGACUGCGGCGCCGGCGGCAUCGCCGGCGCGGCCGGCAUGUUCCAUCGAGGGGUGAGACCGGUCCUCGGCGGCAUGGAAGAAGGGCGCGGCGUGAAGCGGCCCUUCUUCACCUCGCCGGAUGACAUGCUCGAGGAGGAGUACUACGACGAGCAGCUCCCGGAGAAGAAGCGGCGCCUCACCCCGGAGCAGGUCCACCUGCUGGAGAGGAGCUUCGAGGAGGAGAAUAAGCUGGAGCCGGAGAGGAAGACGGAGCUGGCCCGCAAGCUCGGGCUGCAGCCACGCCAGGUGGCCGUCUGGUUCCAGAACCGCCGCGCCCGGUGGAAGACAAAGACGCUGGAGCGCGACUUCGACCGCCUCAAGGCGUCCUUCGACGCCCUCCGGGCCGACCACGACGCCCUCCUCCAGGACAACCACCGGCUCCGGUCACAGGUAAAUAAUCGAAGUCAACAACCACGCUUCAUCACCGGCCGGGCACCGGGGCUUCCGCCGCUGAGUUUGAUUUGGGAGAUCCAUCCAUCUUUGUGCCGUCAGGUGGUAACGUUGACCGAGAAGAUGCAAGAUAAGGAGGCGCCGGAAGGCAGCUUCGGUGCAGCCGUCGACGCCUUGGAGCCGGAGCAGGCGGCGGCGGAGGCGAAGGCUUCCUUGGCCAACGCCGAGGAACAUGCCGCGGCAGCGGAGGCGUUCGAGGUGGUGCAGCAGCAGCUGCAUGUGAAGGACGAGGAGAGGCUGAGCCCGGGGAGCGGCGGGAGCGCGGUGCUGGACGCGAGGGACGCGCUGCUCGGGAGCGGAUGCGGUCUCGCCGGCGUGGUGGACAGCAGCGUGGACUCGUACUGCUUCCCGGGGGGCGCCGGCGGCGACGAGUACCACGAGUGCGUGAUGGGCCCCGUGGCGGGCGGCAUCCAGUCGGAGGAGGACGACGGCGCGGGCAGCGACGAGGGCUGCAGCUACUACCCCGACGACGCCGCCGUCUUCUUCGCCGCCGCGCAAGGGCACGGCCACCAUCACACGGACGACGACGAUCAGCAGGACGACGGCCAGAUCAGCUACUGGAUGUGGAACUAG